rnacentral:rRNA from 1 species
GAAUCUUCCGCAAUGGACGAAAGUCUGACGGAGCAAUGCCGCGUGAGCGAUGAAGGACUUCGGGUCGUAAAGCUCUGUUGUUAGGGAAGAACAAGUCCCAGUUAACUGCUGGUACCUUGACGGUACCUAACGAGACAGCCACGGCUAACUACGUGCCCGCAGCCGCGGUAAUACGUAGGUGGCAAGCGUUUUCCGGACUUAUUGGGCGUAAAGCGCGCGCAGGCGGUUCUUUAAGUCUGAUGUGAAAGCCCCCGGCUCAACCGGGGAGGGUCAUUGGAAACUGGGGAACUUGAGUGCAGAAGAGAAGAGCGGAAUUCCACGUGUAGCGGUGAAAUGCGUAGAGAUGUGGAGGAACACCAGUGGCGAAGGCGGCUCUUUGGUCUGUAACUGACGCUGAGGCGCGAAAGCGUGGGGAGCAAACA